rnacentral:sRNA from 1 species
CGCUCUUACCUAACCUAACAUAACAUUGGCUAAAGAAUCGAAUGCUCUGUAGCAGCUAACCAGGAAGAAAGAAGAAAUCCAAAAUUGUAUUAAUAUUAUAUAGCCUCAAAAUAGAGAUAUAUAAACUUUUUAUGGAAAUUUUUAAUAAUUACACUACUUACCAAUCCCAUAGCUGAUAAAUACAACCAAACAUUCUGAUGGAUUUCACUUGCCCCACACACUCGCACAAACCGACCACACAGGGAUUUGAGGCCGUUAUGUUGCUGCUGUUUUUAUUGAUAUGCAGUGGUGUAGUAAAAAUAAUUGGUAAUGCACUGUUUACCCACUAUUUGAGGACAGAGUGGGAUUUUUUGUUUUUUUUUUUCUUUUGAUGUGUUAUGAUGGACGCAAUGCCAUGAUGUUCGUCGUGUGAGUGUGUACUGCACAAAUUGAUUUAAUUAUUUUCAUCAUAAUAAAUAUAUUGGCCUUUAUGUUUCACCAACAAUGGCGAUGAUAACUA